rnacentral:rRNA from 1 species
AUGUCUCAUGUAGAGGCUCAAGCAGAAGAGGGGGAGAAGAAGGGAAGAGUUGCAGCUGGAGCUCAGUUCACCUGGAUUGUUGCAAACUUUGCCCAUUGCCCUCAGGGUGCCGAUGAGGAUGUGGUGCAGACAUAUGUUCGUGUGUACAUGUGGUACGUUAUCAGGCGGACUUUGUUUGCUGACAGCACUGGCAAGAACACUCCAUGGAUGUGGCUGAAGGCGCUGACCAUCCUCGACAACAAAUGGAGUUGGGAUUCGUCGGCACUGGCCUACUUGUACCGACAGGUAGUUAGUUGUUUGCUUGCACUUUCUUUCAACAUUAUCAAUGCAUUUUUGUUCUUAAGUGAACCAUGUUUUCCUUUAUGUGUAGUUGGACGAUGCUUGCCGUAG